AGGCAGGAAGGAAAAAGUGGGAGGACUGGGGCAUUACAGGGAGACGUAAGGGAAGUGGCAGGGGAGGGAGGAGAAUAGGAGGAAGGAGAAAGAGAAGAGAGGAGAGAAACCUCAGAGUCACAGCACAGUAGGAGGAUUGAAGUGCUGGUGGGAGAGGAUGUGCUGAGAAGGAGAUGGGGCAGGCAAGGAGAUGGGCUGGGGAGACAGAUGGGCACUCCUGAGCCCUCUGUCUCUGCUCUGAAGGGGCCACAGCCUCCAGGCUGCCAGACUCCCUGGCAAGGCUUCUCCCUCCUCCUCCUCUCUUGCAUGAGUCCUGUGAAGGAUGGAGCAACAGUCUUCCUGGGGAGAGGAAGUGAGCUGUUCUGUCACACUGCCCUGUAUGUGGCCCUGGCACAUCAUGUGGUUCCAGAGACAGCCAGCUCCGGACCAGCUACCAAAGAAGGAAAAGCAGAGGGAUCCUGGUAUGGAGAUGGGGACUUAAUCUAACUUUAUCCCACUCUUUCUUCUCCUUCAGCCCUAACCAGAUUUACCAAAUGAGCUUUCCUCAGAUCUCCAAAGAAGCCACUUGGGGUUACAACAGUUGAGUGUUAAAGAAAGUAUGCAUUUAGCAAGUGGCCGAAGACAUUUGCCGAGAUGCUUGUCCUCUGACCCCCUGCAGCUUGACUGAUGUAAUGGGAGAGAUAUGUUGGCUAUAUUUAUGCAGUCAAGCCUCCGAAGAGAUGGAAUUUAUCUGGACAUCACUGGAAAACAAAUUUUGUUGUGAAACCUCUGAAGAUGUGUUUUCUCGAGAGCAUCUGAAAGGAGGAGUUUACAGAGCCAUCCUUCUAAGGGUCUGUGAUUCCAUUGCCUUUUUGGUGGUGCUCCUAAUUCCUUCAUGACCCGGCUGAUACAACUGUGAACUAGGAAGUAGGAUUCAACCAAGACUCCAACUUGCAGGCCCCUUGAUCAGUACUUUGCCUCUGUGAAACUGAGUCUCUGCCUGGCUUUAAAGUCCUUGCUGUUUCAUGUAUACACUUCUCUCACAUGGAAGGAAGAGUUCAAUUGCCAAGCUGGAAAGAGGUGGUGAUGCUCAGUGGAGAGUGCCUGGUUUCUAGCCCCAACCACGUGACUUCAGCAGGUGCUCCCCCCCAUCCCAUCCCCACGCAAAGAUCUGGGUUCCAGCUCCAACACUGCCACCAGAUGGCCAACUGUUCUUAGGCCAGUGGUCUAACCUCUCUGGGCUUCAGCUUCAUCAUCCCUUGUUAGAUGUGCUCUGCCUACCUCACAGGACUGGACUGCUGAGUGGAACAAAUGAGGGUUAUGAGACACAGCUCUUUCACUGGGGUGGACAUACCAUGAGAAGGUGGUGGAGGCAACUUGUGUUAAUAAGGUCCGGCUCCAGGUUCAGACUCUAACCUGUGAUUUGAGAGCCCAUGAGGUGUGUUCUCCUACCACAUAGUGGAUUUGUUAGGAAGUGACUGCCAGUCAUGGACUAACCCAAGGCCUUUUUUAUCAAGGCUCCUUUGCUGUGAUGAAACAGCUGCUGUGUUGUGAACUGCCCCAAGGAAAGGAGGGCAACGGAAGUGAGGGAGACCUCCACCAGCAGGCUUAGAGGACCUGAAUCCUGCCAACACCCACUGGAGUGACCUUGAAAGUGGAUUCUCUCCAAGUUAAGCCUUGAGAUGGUUCAAACACCUUGACUGCAGCCUUAUGAGAAGUCCUGAGUCAGAGGAUCCAGUUCAGCCACUGCCCACAGACUCCUGACUCACACUGCACUUGGGAGAGAAAUAAGUUUGAGUGGAAUCUGAAGAUCUUUUCACUGCCCUUCAUGCUGUAUCAUAUAAGCAAAGCUUCCAAGUCACACAGUGAGACCCAGGAGGCAGGAGCCAAUAAAAUCUUAAAAACACCCAAGGACCAGGCCCACACAUUCCAAAUGCUUCUUAGGACUCUUUGCCCCUCAUGGCCUUGCCGUGUGACCUGCUGCCAACACCACAGAGUAGCUGUCCUGGGAGCAACACUCACAAAGAAGCAUGGCAUUGUUUUAGUCCAUGGUGUUGGAGAGAAGAAAAAAGUGAAAUUGACAAGAAAAAUAAUCAAUACAUAAAAUUAAUGUCAAAUUUUUUAAAUGCCCUUAUUUCUAUGGUAUUAACCUACACUUGGAUUCCCUUUCACUUGCAUUGUUUGUCCUGAGCUUAAAAUGCAUGUAUGGACUAAUGUGCAAGGUACCUCACCAGAAAUAGCAGAUUCCCAUCUUACUUAUGCAUGGUAUGAACUAAUACAAUGAUUUAGUGUGUGGUAUGUAAAAUUAAGCAGUAAGAAGCUCUGAAACCAGAAGGGCAUGCACUGUUUUGAUGACUGCAAAUAAUGCCCUUUGAUUUCUUUUUUUUUUUUAAUGUACUUGUUUUCAUUAUCAUUGCAUAUUGGAUUGUUAAGUUUUCAGACCCUGGACUACAUAUUUUACGGGCAAUGUCCCUUUUAACUUUAAUACAUACAGCAAUUCUGACAGCGGGUGCUAUUGCUUCCAUUUUAGAGAUCAGAAAAUUAAGGCUUAUAGGAGUCAAGUUGCCAAAGUCACAAAAUUGGCACAUGGCGGACCUGGGAUUCAAACCCAGUCUUUUCUGAGUUCAAGCUCUCAGCUAAACCCAAGCACUGUUUUGCCUACCAUGGAGGGUUAAACCAGCAGCCAAGGACAUCUCUUACACAUGUGUCCAGUCUUCUGUCAAAGGGGCAUGUGACCAGACCUGUCCCUACCCUUUGUAUGAGCACCUCCCACCCCCAGUCCUAAAAUGUUCUGCUUAACUGAGGUUUGAGUUACUGAAUGGGCAAACAGAUAAACCAGGAGGUAAUUAUUUAUAUAACCAGCAAAAUAAUCUUUCAAAAUAGAAUAUCAUUAGUCCUUUGAGUAGUUUAUUGAUGACUCAUGAUUCUUAAAAUCUCUGAUAGGAAAGGAAUUUAGAAGUUCAUCUGAUGCAAACUUCCUUGACUACUGAAUUGAGAUGCCAUGAAACUUAAACUAAAAGAGUCUAUUGGAGUGAAAUUGUGGAUAAUCAUGGAUAUCAUCUCUAAGAUGAUAAUGUGAAUGUGAAUAGGAAGGAAGAGUUCACUGGACUCAAUCUGAUUAUUUAUUUUUCAAGUAUUUUUAUAUCCAAUUUUGGGAAUAAAUAAUUUUAUCCAAAUCUUCCUCUCCCUCCUUUCCAUAAUCCAAAUUCUGUCCAUUCUUCAAGUCCUAAUUUAAUUGUAAGUUUUUUCAUGGAAAUUCCUCAAUGGUGGGACAGCUAUUUUUCCUUCUGGACUUCCAUUUUUCUCAGUCUUGUUUAUGUCAUUUAGUGUUUGAUUUUCAGACUGCAUUCUAAUAGUUUCAUCAUUCUAACUGAUUGCGUGAAGGACAUAGAAAGUGUAUAUUCAGUUUCUUGCUUCCCCAGAAGCCCCUCACUUAGGGAUUGACUUUGUAGCAGGUGCUUUCAGGGCCCCGCCCUACUCUUUGGACCCUUCAGUGGGCUCCAGCUAACUUAAAAAUGUCAGUAUCUGCCUUUGUGUGCCUGAAGGCUCCCUUUCCUUCACCCUCAGUAGGGGAAAGCUUGCUCUUUGUAUAUAUGGCAGGCCAGAGUUUCAAAGAGUUACCACCCUCUAGCAAUAGCCCUCAAACUAAUGAAGCUCUUAAGUUGGUAUAUAAACACCCCAGCUCCCUCACUCCUUGAAGUGGUUCUGAAUCAUGUGCUUUGCACCAUUUCCCACAGUUUUCUUGAGAGGUAGGCUCCAGCGGUCCAUAGCAGUAGCUGGCUAAAAAAGUCAUGUACCCUUUAUUUACUGCAUUUUCUCCUUGUGUUACCUGCAGCGCCCAAGUAGAUAGUUUACACUCACAUCAGGAUCUGCUUCUGGGGAACUCAAACCAAGACAGGUAUAGAGGAUAUUGUCAAUAUUGACUUAUUGGUUGGAUGAUUAGCUGACUGUCAGUGUUUUUCCUUGCAGGUACAGGGAUUGUGCGUUUUUUUUCGGAAGCCAUGGUGCUUUUCUGCCCAGUGGUACUCAUUCAUUCCUAGUUGAAUGGAACAAUGAUGAGGGCAAGGAUUCCCACCCCAGGUUCAUCUAGCUCUGUUCACUACUCUGUAUUUGUGAUCUAUUACUGACUUCGGUAAGUAGCAAAGAGCCCAGGGGAAUUAUGUCAAACCUCUAUUCCCUCUCUCCCAUCCCUGCUGCUACCAGCUGCAUGCAAUUCUCAUGUUUUAUUGUCUUUACAUUGAUUACCUUCUGACAAGGCCAGGAAGAAAUGCUGACCCUUGGUUACAACUAAGCAAAGGCCCCUUCCCUUUGGAAACACAAAAAAGAAUGAGAAAAUGAACAACAGAAAGAUGUUUCCUAACAGGGCCAUGUCAAAUUUAUAGAUAAAUAAAAUAUCAAAGAUCAAAUGAGGCUAGAUCAGCAGUUUGGAUCUCUCCCCAACCAAGCAGAGAAUAUGCUGUCGACUCCGUCUUGGACUGAUUUCCAACUUUGUGUUUCACAGCUGUAGCCAGGCAGAGUACGUCCAAUAAUGCUAUUUGUUUUCCACUUAAAAAAAAAAAAGGCUGGGGAAAUAUAUAAAUGGCUCAUAGGAGAAGAGGGCAUUAGCAGACAGUCAGUCUGACCAAAGCGAGACAGGCAGAUGGUUUGUGGGCCUGACGCCAGCUGGGUGUUUCCAUAAGUGAUCGCAUAUCUCCUCUCUGUGCCCCAGCACUCGGCUUGAUUAAGAGGUCAGGAGCAGGCUGCCACAGCACGAGGCCAGAGCACACAUGAUAUACGGCCAACCUGUCGGUCGCCUAGAAACAGCUCUGUAAAGGGGCCCAAAGACAAAUCAAUUUAUAAGCCCACAAGUUUGGGCCCAGUAGUCUUGGCUGUUAUUAAAACAUGAAGUUUGAUUCUUUGGGCUUGCUUUCUCAAAUGUCACUCAGCCCCUUUAACUUUGACCGGACAUCACUUCUUUUCCUUUUUAAUACAGUAGUAUCUUUGGAUAAGUGAUAAUACCUUCCAGGUGGGAUUCCGGGAAGUGAGCGAGGCUGGAGGCAGGCAGGCAGGAGAGGGAUGCAUUCAGGGAAAACUGAGGUGAGGUCUGGUUCUCCUUUCUUCAUUUGCUGAGCACUGGGUGCCCAGUACUGUGGAGAAGUACAGGGAGAGGAGGACACAUCAUCCUUUUCUGGAUGGUGAAGGUUUAUGUGUAUAAAGCAGGGCAACCCAAAGAUGCAAAGGGCUGAAAUGAGUGAUGUGGAUAAUGCAAAUUUUUAAAUGGUCGGCGAGGUGGUCAGAAAAAGCCUUAGAGAGGAAGUGGAACAUGAGGUAGGUGUGAUUCACACAAAUGAAGAAGUCAGAUUUGCAGAGAUGCAGCAGUCAUCUGGGUAACCUUCGGAAAGCCUCUUAACCUGUAUAUGCUUCGAUCGAUUUUAUCCUUGCUUUUCAGAGAGCAUAGGAUUGAGAACUUUCCAGAGAGAGGACUCAGAGAACAAAGGCUAAGCAUGAUACUCUAGGGCCAAUGAGGCACUAGUCUGCCUGGAGUGGGCCUUAAGACUUUGUUCACUGAUCUGUGAGUAAUCCUAUUCUCAAGUGAUUUCCACGGCAGACCUGAAUGGCUCUUGGAAUGCUGCCUGCUGGCCACACCUUCCCCUGCUAUGUCCACUCUGCAAACUUAUCUGUCCAGUUACAGAUUCUGGUUAGUGAUCUGGAUUGAAAUUCUGUCUUCAUUCCUGAUUAGAAAGAUGAAGGAUUGUGCUUCCCAACUAUAAAAUCUGUUUAGUAAAUGUUUACUAUAUACCUACUUUUAGCGAGGCACCAAUGUAAGCAUGGAUGGAAGAGUUAAAAGUCUGCAAGUAUAGUCUGUCCCUUACUGUAAGGAGUUUGCAAUCUCUUUACAGGGUGGUUAAAAUAAAUAAAUCAAGGCGCAGCAAGCCUCUGAGAUAGGCCCCCAACAGAGGUGUAAGCAAUGUGAUGGGGGUUAGAAGUAGUGGUUAUUUCUGGUUGGAGGGACCGGGAAAGGUUUCCUGGGGAAGACUAUGGGCAGCCCAAAGUUGCCUGAAGUUGAGGGAAGGCAGCAGUCCAGCUUUCUAUCUAAAACCCUAUGUGGUAAGCAGCAGUCAGAGGUAAAAGGUGACUCUUAAAUUCACAACACAGUAAAGGCAACCCAGCUUGAAGGGUAGGUAAAGGCCAUGCUAAUUUUUGAAGGUUCAGUCUUGGUUUGCCUAGAACGCUCUCAAUUUACAUAUUAUCAUUAGUAACAUCCUCUUUCAUUCUCAAAAUUGUCCUGGUUUGGACAAGAAUUAUACAGUCAUCUUCAUUAUAGGUAAUGUUUUCAGCAGCCCUUCAGGAGCAGCCAAUCUGAGCUAUACCAACAUAGUAGACUGGGGAUGUUCCCUUGAACCAAGAAAUCCUUUUUAUGUUGCCUCCAAACGAACACACACAGAUCAACAAUGAGAAAAAGCCAAGGUAUUCCUUUCCUGUAGAAUGAACCAAGCAAUGGAAGCAGGUGGGCACGCCAGACACACACCCAUUGUCGAGGUACACUGAUAGAGCAUGGAAUGAUCACGAAAAAUCUAUUAACACACUCGAGCCACACUCAGUCUUGUUUUGCAGAUAAACAUGGUCUGUGAUUAUUUUACAACACUGUGAAGGUGCUGGGGGUUGUCCCUCAUUUAUUACUUGACUAAUAAAUACUUUAAUUACACUUAAUAAAUAAUGUAAGCAGGGCUCACUGAAGUGGUAAUUCUUUAAAUUAAUUAUUAACUGCAUGCAAAAGGCUGCACUGCCAGUACCACUAAAAGAAAAUUCAGCCUUUAAUCUAAAGUGAUUAUUCAUUAUCUGGUAUAAAGGCUCCAUUUGCAUAUUAUUAGGGAAAUAAACUUUGGCCUCCUUGGCAAUACAGAUAGAUCUCAAAGUCCGUGCAUUAUGAAUCUCCAAAUACUAAAGUAAUGAUAAACAAUAUGUAAUAAAGUCUCCAGUUUAUAGCUUUAUAACAGCUGGUUUUUGAUUUUCCAAAUAUAUUACAAUGAUAAAGUGACCAGUUAAUGUAUAAGCUCUUUGUGAAAGGUGGUGCCUACAGAUGGUCGACUGAUAGGAAACGGUAAAUGUGCAAACUGCUCAUUUCCCUUGAGAUUGGAGCCAUAAAAUGAUCUCAAUAAGAUAUGAGAAGAAAAUCUCUCUUUAACCCUUUUCUUAGCUGCAGUCCAAAUAUGGGGCUGCGUUUGGCUGUCUGGUGUGUCUCUUUCUCUGCUCCUCCCAGACUCCCACCUUUCCCCUGAUAAAGUGAAGGGGGAAUAUCUGGAUAUGCAGGCCUUGUGGUAUCCCUGAUUCUACCUUGGGGCAAAGAGGCAAGGUAAGGUUCCAGUCAAAAGAGAAAGAUGAUCUAUAAAACAAGCAAAAGACCAAAAUUCAUGUGCCCCUUGCAUUCUCUAACUUGGUACUUUCUCCUUGAGCCUGGGCUUCUUCCAGAGGAAGUGACUGACCCCAGAUGUGAUGGCUGGGGAGCAAGAUGCAUGGAGCAGCCUCCUAGCAUUUAAACUAUAAAAUUCUGUGGAGAAAUGAUUGAAAAAGAGGUUUCUGAAGGAGAAGGAGAAAUCUCUCUCCUUGACUCCCUUUGGCACAAGUAGGG